rnacentral:rRNA from 1 species
GACGAACGCUGGCGGCGUGCCUAAUACAUGCAAGUCGAGCGCUGAAGGUUGGUACUUGUACCAACUGGAUGAGCAGCGAACGGGUGAGUAACGCGUGGGGAAUCUGCCUUUGAGCGGGGGACAACAUUUGGAAACGAAUGCUAAUACCGCAUAAAAACUUUAAACACAAGUUGUAAGGUUGAAAGAUGCCAUUGCAGCACGCAAAGAUGAUCCAGCGUCGUAUUAGCUAGGUGGUGAGGUAAAUGCUCAUCAAGGCGAUGAUACAUAGCCGACCUGAGAGGGUGGUCGGCCGCACUGGGACUGUGACCCGCCCCAAACUCCUACGGGAGGCAGCCGUAGUGAAUCUUCGGCCAUGGGUGGAAGUCUGACCGAGCAACGCCGCGUCAGUGAAGAAGGUUUUCGGGUCGUAAAACUCUGUUUGUAGGUAAGAACGUUGGUGAGAGUGUAAAGCUCAUCAAGUGACGGUAACUACCCAGAAAGCGACGGCUAACUACAUG